UACGGGGGGGGCGAGCGUUGCUCGGAAUUACUGGGCGUAAAGGGUCCGUAGGCGGUGCGGUAAGUCGGGAGUGAAAUCUCUGGGCUUAACUCAGAGGCUGCUUCCGAAACUACCGUGCUAGAGUGCGAGAGAGGCAAGUGGAAUUGCGGGUGUAGCGGUGAAAUGCGUAGAUAUCGGAAAGAACACCAACGGCGAAAGCACUCUGCUGGGCCGACACUGACACUGAGAGACGAAAGCUAGGGGAGCGAAUGGG
rnacentral:rRNA from 1 species